rnacentral:rRNA from 1 species
UACGUAGGGUCCAAGCGUUAUCCGGAAUCACUGGGCGUAAAGCGUGCGUAGGUGGUUUGUUAAGUGAGAUGUUAAAUCGUGUGGCUCAACCAUAUCGUUGCAUCUCAUACUGGCAGACUAGAGGACAGCAGAGGCAAGUGGAAUUUGUAGUGUAGCAGUGAAAUGCGUAGAUAUUACAAGGAACACCAAUGGCGAAGGCAGCUUGCUGGGCUACUCCUGACACUGAGGUACGAAAGCGUGGGGAGCGAACAGG